rnacentral:rRNA from 1 species
GACGAACGCUGGCGGCGUGCUUAACACAUGCAAGUCGAACGGAAAGGCCCUGCUUUUGUGGGGUGCUCGUGUGGCGAACGGGUGAGUAACACGUGAGUAACCUGCCCUUGACUUUGGGAUAACUUCAGGAAACUGGGGCUAAUACCGGAUAGGAGCUCCUGCUGCAUGGUGGGGGUUGGAAAGUUUCGGCGGUUGGGGAUGGACUCGCGGCUUAUCAGCUUGUUGGUGGGGUAGUGGCUUACCAAGGCUUUGACGGGUAGCCGGCCUGAGAGGGUGACCGGCCACAUUGGGACUGAGAUACGGCCCAGACUCCUACGGGAGGCAACAGUGGGGAAUAUUACACAAUAGGCGGGAGCCUGAUGCGGCAACGCCGCGUGCGGGAUGACGGCCUUCGGGUUGUAAACCGCUUUCGCCUGUAACGAAGCGUGAGUGACGGUAAUGGGUAAAGAAGCACCGGCUAACUACGUG